rnacentral:rRNA from 1 species
GUGAACGCUGGCGGUAGGCCUAACACAUGCAAGUCGAACGGCAGCACAGUAAGAGCUUGCUCUUACGGGUGGCGAGUGGCGGACGGGUGAGGAAUACAUCGGAAUCUACUUUUUCGUGGGGGAUAACGUAGGGAAACUUACGCUAAUACCGCAUACGACCUACGGGUGAAAGCAGGGGAUCUUCGGACCUUGCGCGAUUGAAUGAGCCGAUGUCGGAUUAGCUAGUUGGCGGGGUAAGGGCCCACCAAGGCGACGAUCCGUAGCUGGUCUGAGAGGAUGGUCAGCCACACUGGAACUGAGACACGGUCCAGACUCCUACGGGAGGCAGCAGUGGGGAAUAUUGGACAAAGGGCGCAAGCCUGAUCCAGCCAUACCGCGUGGGUGAAGAAGGCCUUCGGGUUGUAAAGCCCUUUUGUUGGGAAAGAAAAGCAGCAGGUUAAUACCCCGCUGUUCUGACGGUACCCAAAGAAUAAGCACCGGCUAACUUCGUG